rnacentral:ncRNA from 2 species
UACCGUUGGUAGGGAUCUCUUUCCUACAUGACAGUACUAAUACCCAGGGAAACUGGUCAUCAGGCGAACUGCGGCGUUCUGCUGGCAAAACAUAGCUUCGGUUAUGUCAAUGGCUAUUGGAUUGGUCCAUGAAGCGAAAAAAUAGUUUACUGUGUCACUCGUACCGAUAACCGCAUCAGGUCUUCUAGGUAAGUAGCCUAUGGCCAUUGAGGCAUGAUAGUUCAGGGAAUUCGGCCAAUUAGAGCUGUAACUUCGGGAUAAAGCUUGGCUCUGAUGAAAAUCAGAACCGAUUGUUACGCGGAGAGCCCAACUGUUUAAUAAAAACGUAGUGUCGCGCUGUGGUAGUAUAGCCAGUGAACGCGACAUGAAUCCUGCUCAGUGCUGUGUCUGUUAAUAUGGUUCAAGCCAACGAAGCACCGGUAAAUAGCUGGGGUAACUAUGACUCUUAUCAAAGUAGCGAAAUACCUCGUCACUUAAUUAGUGACCUGCAUGAACGGAGCUAUGAGGUUCUCACUGUCCCAAACUGUCUCUCAGCGAACCAACUGUAGUGGGAACGGUCACUAGAUAUCCAGCGGGGAAAGAAGACCCUGUAGAGCUUCACUUUGGUCUAGUCUUGUAUAGUUCCUGCGGGGGUGUAGACUAGGUGGGAGAGCAAUCGAUUCUGAAAAACCACUACCCUGUUUGGAAUUAUGCUUACCUAUCACAAGGAAUAGGACUAGAUAGAAAGUUUGGCUGGGGCGGCACACCUUCGAAAGAGCAGCGAAGGUGUCCUAAGUUGAGCUCAGUGAGGACAGAAAUCUCACGUUGAGGAUAAGGCCAAAAGCUCAAUUUACUGUGCCUUUUUGUACUAGGAUCAGUUACGAAAGUAAGGCCUAACGAUCCCUAAAUAGCCUCAGGUGCGUGAGGAUUGGGGUGACAGACAAGUUACCUCCGGGACAACUGGCUUGUGGCUGCUAAGAGAUCAAAUCAACGCAGCUUUUUGAUUCUUCGAUGUCGGCUCUUCCUAUCCUAGUGAUGUACAAGUUGCUAAGGGUCGGA